rnacentral:rRNA from 1 species
UACGUAGGCAGCAAGCGUUGUUCGGAGUUACUGGGCGUAAAGGGUGCGUAGGCGGCUUCUUAAGUCUGGUGUGAAAUCUCCCGGCUCAACUGGGAGGGUGCGCCGGAUACUGAGGGGCUAGAGUGUGGGAGAGGAAAGUGGAAUUCCUGGUGUAGCGGUGAAAUGCGCAGAUAUCAGGAGGAACACCGGUGGCGAAGGCGGUUCUCUGGACCUGUACUGACGCUCAUGCACGAAAGCGUGGGGAGCAAACAGG